UUCGGGGAUUUUUUUAUUUUCUGUUUUGGCCUGUUUGUGAGGCCACAGUUUGCAUGUUUUGGGACUGGCCGUUGGUGGCUUUGAAUCCCUGCCCUUGUUAAGGCUUUUUGUAAGAUGUUUGGCUCAAUCUAUAAAACUUUUCAGUUUUUAUAAAUCGAGAGAACUUCUGUUUUUCGAAGUUAUAGGGCAGGGUGUGAGUUGUCGUUUUAUUCCCCCCCCCCCAAUGAUCAGUGUAUCCAUCGUUUGUUGAGUACGCGAGAUUACGUGGUUUUCUGCUUUUAUGCGAAGGCUCGUGAAAACGUA
rnacentral:lncRNA from 1 species